AUGUUGAUGCCGACGUGGUUGUUGUCAAUGUCGUCGAACUCGAUGUUCUGCAUGGUGUCGAGCUCGGCGGCGAAGAUGCGGUUGCUGGCGUUGCCGUUGUUGUCGAUGUUGGCGAGGCCCAUGUACUGCGCGGCGAGCGCGCCGGAGAAGUUGCUGCUGGGCGCGACGACGAAGGCGAUGCCGUGGCAGCUGAGGUUGGGGUAG
rnacentral:rRNA from 1 species